CCUAGAUUUGUAACAAGCUAUUGUGUUUUUGUAUAAAGUGCCCAAACUUUGUCUCCUCAGCAAAAAGCACCACCACAGGCUGGUGAGUGUGUGUUUAUAGUGCUUUACUGAUACUGUUUGUGUGUGUUUAUGUGUGUGUCACAGAAGUGCACCCACAGCUCCAUCAUCAUUAGCCUCUCAGUCCCGGCCCCCACCCGGCCCCUCUUCCUCCCCAAUGCGUCGAGUUGGCCUCAGCGCUCCUGACCCCGAUGAGGACAGCAGUUCUGAGGAAUCUCGUGCCAGUUCUGGCCUGUCCAUGAGGAGCUCAGCAGGGGUGCUCUCAGCGGCCCAGGGAUCAGAUGCUGGGUCGGGGCCCAACGUAGAGCCUUUGGAUAUGUUUAUGUUGGGGCAGGACCAGGACUCUCUGAUAGGUCACAUGGACACUGGUCUGACCCCUGAUGCUCCUCGGUCGGUCUCUGAGAGGGUCUCCCCAACACUCCCCUCCUCCCCGGGCCGUCCAGGUGCCAACGUUAAACCAGUCCUUCCGCCCAUCCCAUCUGGAAGGAAGACCAAUGAUUCUGGCUCAAAGCAGUAACUAACAGGACAGAGAGCUAGAGAGGGUAUAGAUAGUGAGAUAUUAGCACAUCAUGUGAGUGUUAGCGGCAAAAAUAGGUUUUUGCAAUAAGUUUAAUUAACCCCUGUAGCUUCAAGCCAGCCAUUCAAUAAAUGUCAAUGAAGGCAACA
ensembl:lncRNA